GAGUGCCAAAGUCUCCCGUGAUGUAUCCUGUGUCCACAUCCCAACAACCCCAUCGGCAGGACUCUUUCCUGGUUUGCCCACAAGGAGGAAAGUGAGGCUUCAGAGAGAUGAAGCAACUUGUUUGAAGGCGGCCACACAGCUGAACUUAGUGCUUGAACCCCAACCAAAGAUUGAAACCCUGCUGCCCACAGUCUGACCUGGCUCUGACCUCUGACCUGCCUGGACACUAGGAGAUGCCCAUUCCCGUGUCCCACGGCAGCUCCAACUGCCUGAUGGACACCUGCUGCCUCCCCCACAUCCCUGGGGAGUGUGCCCCAGAAUCACCAUGCCCUCCCAACUCCCGUGAUCCUUCACCUGACUCGGCCCUCUUCUAGCUGGAUCUGUGUCCCCAGUUCCAGCCCUGCCCCAGGGGAGAGGCCUGGGGCUCCAUCCAGACCACUAGUCUCAUGACAGCCCAACAGCGUGAGGCCCAUGGCAGCUGGCUGCUGUUGAGACUUGUGUUUGGUCUUUUAGCUUGCAGCUCUUGAGAGCUUCCUA
rnacentral:lncRNA from 1 species